rnacentral:tRNA from 1 species
AUUUGAGUAGUUUAAUAAAAAAUUAUGGUUUGUGGGGCCACCGAAGGAGCUUAUUUACUCCCUUAAAUA